rnacentral:rRNA from 1 species
UACGGAGGGAGCUAGCGUUGUUCGGAAUUACUGGGCGUAAAGCGCACGUAGGCGGAUUGCUAAGUCAGGGGUGAAAUCCUGGAGCUCAACUCCAGAACUGCCUUUGAUACUGGCGAUCUUGAGUCCGGGAGAGGUGAGUGGAACUGCGAGUGUAGAGGUGAAAUUCGUAGAUAUUCGCAAGAACACCAGUGGCGAAGGCGGCUCACUGGCCCGGUACUGACGCUGAGGUGCGAAAGCGUGGGGAGCAAACAGG